GACGAACGCUGGCGGCGUGCUUAACACAUGCAAGUCGAACGGAAAGGCCCUGCUUUUGUGGGGUGCUCGAGUGGCGAACGGGUGAGUAACACGUGAGUAACCUGCCCUUGACUUUGGGAUAACUUCAGGAAACUGGGGCUAAUACCGGAUAGGAGCUCCUGCUGCAUGGUGGGGGUUGGAAAGUUUCGGCGGUUGGGGAUGGACUCGCGGCUUAUCAGCUUGUUGGUGGGGUAGUGGCUUACCAAGGCUUUGACGGGUAGCCGGCCUGAGAGGGUGACCGGCCACAUUGGGACUGAGAUACGGCGCAGACGCCAACGGGAGGCAGCAGGGGGGAAUAUUGCACAAUGGGCGGAAGCCUGAUGCAGCAGCGCCGCGUGCGGGAUGACGGCCUUCGGGUGGGAAACCGCUUUCGCCUGUGACGAAGCGGGAGUGACGGUAAUGGGUAAAGAAGCACCGGCUAACUACGUG
rnacentral:rRNA from 1 species